ACCGAGUUAUUCAACUCAUCAACCCUGUGAACUUACCUAUACGUUGCUUCGGCGGGAAUAGACGGCCCCGUAAAACGGGCCGCCCCCGCCAGAGGACCCUUAACUCUGUUUCUUUUAGUGUAUCUUCUGAGUAAAACAAGCAAAUAAAUUAAAACUUUCAACAACGGAUCUCUUGGCUCUGGCAUCGAUGAAGAACGCAGCGAAAUGCGAUAAGUAAUGUGAAUUGCAGAAUUCAGUGAAUCAUCGAAUCUUUGAACGCACAUUGCGCCCGCCAGUAUUCUGGCGGGCAUGCCUGUUCGAGCGUCAUUACAACCCUCAGGCCCCCGGGCCUGGCGUUGGGGAUCGGCGGAGCCCCCCGUGGGCACACGCCGUCCCCCAAAUACAGUGGCGGUCCCGCCGCAGCUUCCAUCGCGUAGUAGCUAACACCUCGCGACUGGAGAGCGGCGCGGCCACGCCGUAAAACACCCAACUCUUCUGAAGU
rnacentral:sRNA from 1 species